rnacentral:rRNA from 1 species
UACGAAGGUGGCAAGCGUUGUUCGGAUUUACUGGGCGUAAAGGGAGCGUAGGCGGUUGAGCAAGUCCUCUGGGAAAUCUCCCGGCUUAACCGGGAAAGGUCAGAGGGGACUGCCUGACUAGAGGACGGGAGAGGAGCGCGGAAUUCCCGGUGUAGCGGUGAAAUGCGUAGAGAUCGGGAGGAACACCAGUGGCGAAGGCGGCGACCUGGACCUGUGCUGACGCUGAGGCGCGAAAGCGUGGGGAGCGAUCCGG